rnacentral:SRP_RNA from 1 species
GCCUGGUGUCGUGGCGGGCGCCUGUAAUCCCAGCUACUCAGGAGGCUGAGGCGGGAGAAUUGCUUGAACCCAGGAGGCAGAGGUUGCAGUGAGCCGAGAUCGCGCCAUUGCACUCCCGCCUGGGUGACAGAGCAAGACUCUGUCUCAA